AGUCACAAAGAAGAUUUUGGAAAAAGUCAAGACUCAAACAAGUAAAUUUUCACAAGUUGUGGUGAAACAAGGUAAAGAAGAGGCUCUCACAAAGUGUCAGCAUGAGCUCAAAGCUAAGUUGAACAAGAGAUUCCUGCAUUUGUUGGAAGGGAUUGCAGAAGAAGAAGACCCAACCCUUCUGAAUCAGAUCUACACAGAACUCUGGAUCACAGAGGGAGAGACUACAGAGGUCAAUGAGGAACAUGAGGUCAGACAGAUUGAAACAGCAUCCAGGAAACCAGACAGACCAGAAACAACAAUCAGACAAGAAGAC